rnacentral:rRNA from 1 species
UACGUAGGGGGCAAGCGUUAUCCGAAUUUACUGGGUGUAAAGGGAGCGUAGACGGUUAUGCAAGUCUGAAGUGAAAGCCCAAGGCUCAACCAUGGGACUGCUUUGGAAACUGUAAAACUGGAGUGCAGGAGAGGUAAGCGGAAUUCCUAGUGUAGCGGUGAAAUGCGUAGAUAUCACGCAGAACGCCGAUUGCGAAGGCAGCUUACCGGCGUUCAACUGACGCUGAGGCACGAAAGUGCGGGUAUCGAACAGG